UCAGGCCUAACCACAUGCAAGUCGAACGGCAGCACGAUCUUCGGAUUGGUGGCGAGUGGCGCACGGGUGCGUAACGCGUAUGGAACCUACCCUUUACAGGGGGAUAGCCCGGAGAAAUCCGGAUUAAUACCCCGUAGUAUUAUGAUUCGGCAUCGGAUUGUAAUUAAAGCUGAGGCGGUAAAGGAUGGCCAUGCGUCCUAUUAGUUAGAUGGUGAGGUAACGGCUCACCAUGACUGCGAUAGGUAGGGGCCCUGAGAGGGGGAUCCCCCACACUGGUACUGAGACACGGACCAGACUCCUACGGGAGGCAGCAGUGAGGAAUAUUGGACAAUGGUCGAGAGACUGAUCCAGCCAUGCCGCGUGCAGGAAGACGGCCCUAUGGGUUGUAAACUGCUUUUAUACGGGAAGAAUAAUGCCCACGUGUGGGCAGAUGACGGUACCGUAUGAAUAAG
rnacentral:rRNA from 1 species